UACGGGGGGCGCAAGCGUUGUUCGGAUUUACUGGGCGUAAAGGGCGCGUAGGCGGUCAGCACAAGUCAGUUGUGAAAUCUCCGGGCUUAACUCGGAAAGGUCAACUGAUACUGUGCGACUAGAGUGCGGAAGGGGCAACUGGAAUUCUCGGUGUAGCGGUGAAAUGCGUAGAUAUCGAGAGGAACACCUGCGGCGAAGGCGGGUUGCUGGGCCGACACUGACGCUGAUGCGCGAAAGCGUGGGGAGCAAACAGG
rnacentral:rRNA from 1 species